AAAAAAAAAAAAAAAAAAAAAGUCACGGAAAAGUAAAGAUUCAACAAAUAUGCCAUCAACUAUCAAAUAGGCUUAAGACUUCAUCUGAAUUUUGAGAAGUUCCCUUUUAACUUUUUUUGUAUUAAGUUCGAAAUUACAUUUAUUAUUUCAAUAAAGUUUCACUUGCUUAAAACCACCUAUUUAUGCAUAUUAAAACAAAACGUUCAUAUGAAAAAUUUUCUAGAAUUUCGUCAUGGGAUUUUGGUAUUCUUUUGUUUAAUUUAGAAGAAAAUGGAAAAUUUCAGAGUAGAACUAAGCUUCUAAAAAAAUGUAUGAAGUCUCCCAUAGUCCCCUCUCACUUUCAGGUCAACAAAGCUAACUAUUAUCACAAUUGACCACAUUCAUAUACCAGUUCCUAUCCUCACACCACGCAAUUAUGAUAAGAACUACGCAGGCUUCCUGAAUCUCAACUUGAAGCAAGUAAGAAAUAUCUAAAAUAAACAUUGGUAAGAGACAGUACCGUUUGUGAAAUUUUAGGGUGACCCAAAAGCCGAGCAAAUGAUGUGUGAAGAAUAGCAGCAUCAUACUGUAAAAGACAUGGGACUGAAAAUUAGUUCUUUUAUACCCACACUUUGUGUCAAUGGUUGGCAAGAUAAACCAAUAAAUGCAGCAUAAAGUGGAUGACAUAUAAAAUUUCCAAUCAAUUGGAGUGCUCACGGGAACUACAGGCCAUUCUUCUUAAGUAUUUUCAAUUAAAAAAACAGCUAAAUGUAAUUAACAAUAAAAUUUCCCCCAAAUCCAUUUUUAAACUUUCCAACUCCCAGAAAGUGGCAAAGCAAGAAAAUGGAAAUUAAUAGCUGUUGCGUCAGUGCGGAGACUACCAAGGGCUCACCAAUCUCAAAAAUAGGCAUCAAAGCCAAAAAUAAUAGAUGAUGGGACAAGUUCUCUCAUCUAUUACCUGAGUGUACUAAUAUUACAUGCCCUCCAACUUAAAUGAUUACUCUAAAGAUUACUAUGGAGUAGUAGUUUGCUGACUGCUACUAUUUCGAAUAAACUGAUAUUAAUAAUCAGAAACUCAUACAAGUUGUUUCUCAGGUGCAUGUGGAAGUGCUGUCCUUAGUUUAGCACGGAUUGUCACAGGAUCUGUCCCUGAUAUUACCUACAUAAAAGGAAAAUAAGUAUCAGCAAAAAUUUAUGAUUCAACAAUAUUCUUUAACCUCCACAGUCCUAUGACAGGAGAAAUAAUUGCACUAGCUGACUGUCUUCAGUAUUAGACCAAGUUACAUACCUAAAAAGGACAACGUUCCAAUUGUAAUGAAUAUCAGAAUACUAAUUGUCUUCCCAUUGUAAUAGGAAGGUGCCAAAAGUAUCAGAGUAAUUAUGAUGUGUCAACAAUAAAAACUAUCUCAGGUUUUUUUACCUCCAUGAGUGUCUAGGUCAACUUGCACACACUUUUAACUAUAGUCUCAAAACAACCAUCUAACCUUUCAAUAUUUGGUUGUCAAGAAAACCCACAGGAUAAUAAAUCUUAAGUGGUCAUCAUAGCUUGCACUCAUUUACUCUAAGUCUAUAUACAUUAGCUCCUCAUCCACUAGGUUUGGGUGUCUUUCUAUAUCCUCAAUAUAUUUAAUUAUCUGGUCGGUUAUCUUAUGCCUCAUUUCAGUUCUCAUAAAUCAAUCCUCAAUAUAUGUCUCUAGUUCUUAUCAUGAUUGAAAAGGUUUGGGUGUUUGCAUUCUCAAUGUAUUUCUCUAGUUCUAUCAGAAUGACAAGAUUUUUACUUAUCUGGAUAUUUCACUAUAGUUUUAGUGAAAAUAUACAGAGUAACAUUACCAGAGAAAUUUUCAAAAAUCGAAGGAGACCUCUCUGAACUCUUGUGCAGUCUCAGUUCAGUUUGUUGUUCCUUUUCUUAAACAGAAGAGCAGAAGGUUACAUAAAACAUCAAUGCUUACAUUUAAUGUGAGAAAACAUGGCAAUGUGGUAAGUCAUGGUCUGAAAAAUAAGGUAAAUAGUGAACUGUGCAAGUCAUGUUUUCCUGACCCUCAAUUAAUGUAUUGCCGAGGAAAAACUUCAAAGAAAAAAAAAAGCAGCCCAAGUCUAGACACUUGAACGAUCUAGAAAUGCUAAAGUGACGUCACCAUAAGUUAAAAGGUUUACCUGCCAACAUCCUAGAAGAACACCUGUUGAAGUUAGAAUAACCCUGUCUAGAACUAUUUUCAAAUGACACAUAUGCUCUGUCGCAGACUUCACGGCAGAUGCUUCAGCUUCAAUCUGCCAGACAGAAAAUUUUUCAAAAAGGUAUGAAAAAAGGUUUGAAGCAAUACAAUGACAGAUCAGAAGGAAACUUGCCUCGUCGUUACUAGCAGGAAUCGGUGUAAUGUGAUGUGAUGCAUGGAACAUGCUAAAAUGGUACAAGCUAGAGUUCUGAAACCAAAUUGCUAAACAAAGAAUAGGGGAACACAUGUUAGGGAAUGAUACCAUACUCGUGACAAAAAGAAGGGGAAAAAAAAGACGAUCAUGUCUACAUUAAAAACAUAUUCAUAUGAACCAUAAGAAGUAAACAAUGACCUACUUAAGAAAAUGAAAACCUAAAACAUACCUUCAUCAAAAUAAGGGUCAAAUAUGGAUUUUACAGCCUCACUGCAGCACAACGUAAAUGUUUAUGAAUAGGCAUAAGCACUAUAUACCUAAAUAAGACAACAAUAAAUCCUACAACAAAAAAGAAAAACAGUCUAGGAAGUAUAACGAUUGAAGAUGUCUACUCUCUUCAAUUGUAACAUGUUUAAUCGACAAAGAGCACUUCUUACCAAUAAUCAGAGAAUUUUUUAGCAUGAAAUUACACAAUACGAAACAUGUCCUUUUCACCACUUAUAUAUAUAUAUUUAAUCUAUUCAGUGAUGACAUCACGAAAUGCUAAAUGGAUGGAUGAACAUGAGGAAUUCAAUUUUGAUAGUUUCCAAGGCUAUGUUAAAACGUUUAAAAAAUACUUACAAUAUGGGAACUGAGUACUCUGUGCUUAGAUACAAAACAUUGGCACGAACAGGAGGAUUUGCAGCCUGCAAACAUGAAAAGGACAUCAUUCACAGCAAAUGUGGAAAGAAAUCUAAAUUUAGAUCAUAAGUUUUUUAAGGAACAGCUUGCCUUCAAUACAGGGGUCACAGUUCCAUCCUUAAUGGUGAAGAUAUCAGAAAGUGAUAAAGACUGAGAUGUUUCACCGCCCUUGAGGAAAACUGCCCCUUUCUCAUCUAAAUCCCUCUCCAUCUUAUCGUAUAACUUUGAUCUUAACUCAGAAUUUGAUACUGAAGAAUCUGAUAGACGUUAUCAGGAAAGGGAUAGACUUCAUUUCAUAUACCUUGCUAAAUUAAACCCAAGUAAAAUUAAACGCAUUUAUAGAAUUGCAAGUAGUAAUAUUAGAUUCUUCGGAUGACAUGACACAUGGUUGCAACAAGCACAAAAGCUUCGAAAAAAUGGCAAGUACAAAGCAGUUUUGUUAGCUUUUUUGGUCAUGUAGAGAUUAGGAAUUCAAAUUAGCCACAGUCCAAACCAAUUUCCUGAAACUUUUAAAGUAAAUUCAAGAGCAAUUUAUAAAAGGAAACUUUGUAUUUCGACAUAAAAACGCCUAAAAAAAUCAAGAUUGAAAAAAGUAAUUAGUAGAAAAACCCUACAACCAAAAAAACAUUUUAAGUAUUGUUAGAUAUUGGUAAUGAAUUUGACUAAAUUCACCAUCACCUAACAACCUAAUUUUUUAAUCAAAUAUUUUAUAACUUUAAUUUUUCUUUUUUAACAACAAUUCCUAACAACACGAUAUCAGAUCAAAGUGUAAGCUCAGAUUUCUUAUGAAUGUGCUGUUAUCCUUCUAUUACAUUGUAUCAGAUCAAAUAUCUUAAGUGCCGCUAAGCGUUCAGGUGUACAUUAAAAUCUGAACAAGAGAAGAAUUCUACUUAAUUAAUUUAGUUGCUUUUAACUUAUAACCGUAUAAAAAUGGAAAAAAAAAAAAAAGUAACUUAGAGCAUAUGAAUCGAUUCGAUCGAACUCUCACUAUACAAAUCUUGUUACGAUCAAUUGAAACCUAAAUUCCCAAAUCGAGAUCGCCAAUAUUCAAAAAAUUAACAAAGCAAAACACCCCAUGAUAGGAAGGAGAAGAAUACCUGAGGAAGAAGUAGAGUUGUGGAGGGCCAUUUGAAAGAGAAAGAAGAAGAGAACAGCGGAGGUGAGCCAGAUCAAGGCGACAGUGGUGGAGUGAGCCGAGAAAAUUCCAGUCCUUCCCAUGAAGGAUCUGAGCUUUUGAGCAAUCCUAAGCGAGUGAGUGAGUGAAUGAUUGAGUUCAAUCAAAUCGAGAGCGAAGAAUUCAAAGAAGGGGAGUCAUUUCACAGAGUCGCGACUCCCGAGUGGGGGCAAUGAGUUGUGACUCGGUCGGCCGGGCCACCGUGAGAUUUGGGGCGACGAGCAAUCGCCGAUUCCGUAUUUUCCACAUUACUAACUCCACCGUACCAUAUUUUAAUGAAUAUUAAUGUAUUUAAGUUUAAGUUCUUUCUUAACCCCAAAUUUUUACUUUAAACUAUGGAUUUAACAGAUUCAACUUAGUCUGACCCUUUAAUUACCUUUUAAAGACUCGACAAACAUUAGUCGAUCUGUCAUCAUUAGCAUCUUCUCGUUUGAUCAUUAAUCGAUAAACGAGAAAAUCUUUUGUUCACUAAUUAUGAAAAAGAAAGAAUAAAGUACUCACGAAAGCCUUUGAUGUUUCAUUUUAGGACCGUUGCUAUAUGCAUGUUAUCUUUUCAACCACAUUGUUACUAAACAAAGCUUAAAUCGUUACUCAAUCUAAAGUUAUUUUGAAUAAAACCAAAAACUCUAUUCAUGGGCCGAUGUCCUAACAACCAACGUGUAGCCUUAUAUCAAACCCAACCACGUUGCUUUAUAUUAUGGGUCCAAAUUUCAUUACCAAAUCCACCUUUUUCCCUAAUUCUUUCCUUUUAUAUUUCUUCGAUUAAUCUCUUUUUUUCUUCUUCUUUGUCCAAUUCCUAAUCAUUUUGUUAUGAAUAAUUUGGGUGGGAAACUGGAAUGUUCAAUUAAGAUUUAAAAAGAAGAAAAAGAAUAAUUCUAAAAGGAGGGGGAGGCAACAUACUUUUCUUUUUUAUUACUUUAGAUAUCUUACUAUAAGGCCACCUUUUUUUCACUGUUCAAAGUUUUGUUUCUUUCUCUAACCCAAAAAAAGCAAUUCUAUUCAAAAUAUAUAUCAUCGUCUAUUUUUAAUCAAUCUUAAGUUUGUUUUUCUUUAAUAAAAUUGACUAAAAUGAUUGUUCAACAUGCAUAAAACUUGCAUGUAAGCUUUGAGGGGUUCAUGUAGCUCAUUCAUCUACUUUGAUCGCAUUGCUAGAGCUUACUUGCAUGAAAGUAUAUAAAUUUAAUCCAAAUUUGUAUUGUACUCAUAAAUAAAUAACCUAUAGUUUUAAUGUGCAUCAUACGUGUAUCCAGAUUAAGAGAACUCAUUAUAAAUAGCUUAGAACGUUAGUUUAUUAGAUUUAGGUUAUUAAGAUAAAACCAAUAAUCAACAACACUUUAUUGAUAGUAGUAUAAAAUCCAACGUUACUUUCUCAAAAUUCGUAUUGAGAUAUACAAUAAUCAUCCAAAUAUUUCUUUUUUUUCCAAAACCAUCCCAACAAGUUUGUUGAGCCUAAAGAGGCAUUGCCUUAAUUAUUUAGAUGUGUUCUUCAAUGAUGCAUAUGAGUAGUCUUCUUUUUAUUUCUCUCUCUCUCUCUCUCUUUAAAUUAAGUUUUUAAUUUAUGUGUUGGGGACCAUAGAUUUUGUAGCACAAUGAACUCAUAUGCAUGUGCCUAAUGUGUUGGAUGGAGACCUAUCCUAUUUAUUCAUUAUAAUUGUAUUCCAACCUUAGCUUACAUUUUAUUAUUACUUUUUCAAAUCUUACUCUCACAUUCUCUCCAUUAAAUUACCAAAAUAUUUCAACCAUUCCUUCCCUUUUAACACUACAGUCUUGUCUAUUCUAUCAACCGUUUAAAUGUUCCUUCUCCAAUUCACAUUUCUUUCAAUUAAUAUGACAAAAUUGAAAAUACAAGAUGUAUAUUCAUUUUUGGUGGAUUUCAUUUAUAACUAAUUAACCUAACACAGAUCACAAGAUUUUAUAAACUUUAUAUUAAACAUGAUUUGCAAUAAAAUGCGAAUGAUCUCGUUAUUUGCAACGUAAUAAUGAUAUUAUGAAUUGCACAUAAUAAUUGAAUAUAAGAAUAAAGAAACAAUAUAAGACUUAUUUUCCUUGUCUAAAAGUAAAAGCUUUUGAAUUUUCAAACUUUCAAUUUUCGUUCUUUUUAGAAAGGCUCGAGUAGGGUUAUUAAUUUUAAUCAAACAAAGAAAAAAAAAAACAACUUUUUCCUAUUAGUUUAUAUUUACAACAACAAUGUAUGUAUUAGACAUUUUUCUUUGGUUUGAGGAAGACUGAAAUGGAGAAUUAGUUAAUAAGAAAAAGUUGAUGGGUGUUUUGGUAAAAGAGGAGAAGUGGAGGGGGGGAGGGCAUAGAAAUAAAUAAAAAGAAAGGGAGGAGGAGAUAUUGGGGAGAACCAAUCAAAAAUUUCCACAAUAAUAAUAAUAAUAAAUCGUAAGCUGUUGUCUAUAUAGUACUGUACGCUCUUCUGACACAAAAAACAAACCCACAUAUAUUACGUAAAUUUAAAUUUAAAUUUCAAAUGCAAAUUAAUUUAACUUUUCCAGAUUCCCAUUUUCCUUUUUUAAUUUUAUUUUGCAUACUACUGUUACUACUACUACUAACUCAAUCAUGUGUAGAAGAAAAAGGUUAAAAGGGACCUACAGAUAAAUAAAAAUAAAUAUAGAUAAUGAUCAUCAUUCCUAAUUUUUAUUUUUUUAUUUAUAAAAAUCAAAUUUAAAAAAUUGAAAUAAAAAUAAAAAUAAAAAAUAAAAAAAAAGAAGAAGAAAGAAUGAUCCACCUGUUUGUCAGUGACAUUGUACAUUGGUUUAGGCAAUGAGCAGCAAGUGGGUCCCUCCCACCUGAGCCAACACCUGGAAUUGAUAAGAUCAGGGCCCCACCCUCCUCCUCCUUCCUCUCUCUCUCUCUCUCUCUCUUUUUUUUUUAAUUAAUUAACCAUAACAUUACUGUUUCAUUUGGUAAAUGUAGUAGGAACCUCUUUUUAUUACCAUGCAAAUAUAUAAUAGUAUGUUAAAGAGUAAUAUAAUGAUGAUGAUGAUGAUGCAGUCAAAAAAUCAAAUCAUAAAUAUGUGAAGAUCAUACUCUUACACUCUUUUAUCUCUCUCUUUUAGUCUUUUUCUAUCUCUCUCAUUCAUCACACCCUUAAGAAAAAAAAAACCUCCAAUAUUUAUUAAUCACACGAAAAAAAAUAAUUUUAACCAAAAAAAGAAAGAAAUUAGAAAAUUAAAAUAAAAAAAGAAGGAGAAAAAAAAACUCGAUUUUUUUAAAAAAAAAUGGAAAAUCAAACCUCACGUGUGUUUCCACACAUCAAACGACCACACAUGUGGACGGAACGGCGAAGA
rnacentral:lncRNA from 1 species